rnacentral:rRNA from 1 species
AACGAACGCUGGCGGCAUGCCUAACACAUGCAAGUCGAACGAGAUCUUCGGGUCUAGUGGCGCACGGGUGCGUUACGCGUGGGAAUCUGCCCUUUGGUUCGGAAUAACAGUUGGAAACGACUGCUAAUACCGGAUGAUGACGAAAGUCCAAAGAUUUAUCGCCAGAGGAUGAGCCCGCGUAGGAUUAGCUAGUUGGUGUGGUAAAGGCGCACCAAGGCGACGAUCCUUAGCUGGUCUGAGAGGAUGAUUAGCCACACUGGGACUGAGACACGGCCCAGACUCCUACGGGAGGCAGCAGUGGGGAAUAUUGGACAAUGGGCGAAAGCCUGAUCCAGCAAUGCCGCGUGUGUGAUGAAGGCCUUAGGGUUGUAAAGCUCUUUUACCCGGGAUGAUAAUGACAGUACCGGGAGAAUAAGCUCCGGCUAACUCCGUGCCAGCCGCCGCCGUAACAC